UCCCUGGUGGCUCAGACAGUAAAGAAUCUGCCUGCAAUGCAGAAGACCUGGGUUUGGUCCCCAGGUUGGGAA
rnacentral:tRNA from 1 species